AUCGAACUUUUUUGAUGAAAAAUAUAACCCUUGUAUAGAACCUAGAGUACUAAUUUGUUGGUAGUUCAUUUCUUCACUCUUCUAUCGGCGAUGAAACCUACCACGAAGAGCCAGAAAUCUUCCAUGUAUCUUUAAUCUGGAAUGGAAGCGAAGAGAAAUCUUCUAUAUCUUCAUAUAUUCAUCGAUUUUCUUAUCUUAAAUCGUUAUUCUCAUUCAGUUUACAUAAAUCUAGAUUCUCGGUGUUAGUGAAGUUCGCUGAAAUGAAAAUCCCAGGAGCAAGUUUAGUUGUCACUAACUGAUGGAGAUAAACGAAGAAGAUAUGAUUGAAUCUCUUAAUAAACGACCCUCAUGUUUCACUUUUCUGUAAGCUAUUGUGUUGUCGCCAAUGGUAUCAGCUAAUAAUAUCGGUACAUUGAAAGAAUUCUGGCUUAUUGCACCAAAAGUAAGGCUUCAGAAAGUUUAUAAGUGUUACCGGACAUGGAGAAAUCGUGCAGAUUGUGCAGGAGCUUUGGUGGGAUAUUGGACUUUGCCAAGUGGUAUCCUUUUUCAACAUUGAGAAACCAGAAACAAUUGUUUCAUGAUGGAAACGGGUAUGGACAAAGGUUGACGAAGUGGCUUGUUGGUUGAUUAAGAAGGUACUAAUUUUUGUUAAGGUCAUAGGAUGAUGCGGUUGAUCUUGUUGUACGAUGGACGUGGAUUGUAGUGCAAGAUCUGCUUGCUAGUAUCUCUCCUACAACACCACUCCUUGAAGCUUCUACUAGUCAAAAUAACGUUGCAUUGGAGUGUGGGAUUCUCAAUUGAUAAGAAAGUUUGUUAAUGACAUAGAUGGAGACAGUGGCUUCAUCGCUGUUUGUGGAGGAUAACAUGUCCCAGUAUGACGAUAUGGACUACAUGGGGGGUGAUUAUGAAAUGGAUGAUGUAGAAGACGACAUGGAUGAAGAAUUCCACUGUAGAGGUUUGGGUGAUUCCGAGUCUAAUGAGGAUGAUGGUGACCAAUUGGUUUGUCUUUUGAACUCACUCUCUAGUUUUGUUGGAUGUACUGCAUUGGGUUUAAUUACUUGAUAUAUGAUUUUGCGACGGGCUGAUAAAGAUUUUAUUUGGAUUCUAUGCGGACUAAUAAAAUAACAGAUACGAGAUGAUACGAGAUGAUUUUAUUUGGAUUCUCCGGUAAUUCUUAAUGUGUACAUAAUUGUACACAUGUUGAUUUAGAAAAAAUUUGAAAUUAGAUAACACUUCUUAUGACCAAGUCCCCAUGUUGAUCUUAAUGUUAUAUCAAAGUUUUUAGUCUAGAAUUAUGAAUUAGAAAAUGUAGUGUUGUUAUUAAGCUCAACUGCUAGUGAAGAGUCACUUCCUGUUGGUUCUGACAGAAACUAGAUGUGUACAUAUUUGUACACCUAAGAUAUAAGUGUACAUUGUUGUACACGUGUGGCAGAAAUUGCAUCUGUGCAUAAUAGUCCACUCAAGGACUCUUAAUUAAAUCUUAACUAAAUUUUAGUGAACAAUCUUUUUUCAUUUCUUAGAUGUCGAAUCAUUGAUGUUAUGAGUCACUGACUGUUAUGACAGAAACUACAUCUGUACAUAUUAGUACACUUACAAUAUAAGUGUACAUUGUUGUACACAUGUGAUAGAAAUUACAUGUGUACAUAAUAGCGCACUUGUAAUACAAGUGUACAUUGUUGUGCACUUUUUAAUACAGGUGUACAUUGUUUUGCACAUGUGACAAAAAUCACAAGAUGGUGGACAUAUAUCGCAUAAGCUUAUGCAUGUGUUAGUUUCUAGUUAGUUUUAGGGUUUUAUGGAGGUAAAUAUAUGUGUGUACUUUAGAAGUUUGUUAAACGUGAAAUAUUUUGAAUAAGAUAGAUUCAUUUAUGAGGUGUUUUGGACAAGACUAGUUAUUGAAGUUUUGUUGUUCUCUUCUAUUUGUUACAUGCAAUUGAUGUUAUUGAUGAUACGGAUGUUCCUCCAAGAUAUGUGAAUAACACAGGUCUUUCUGCAAGAGUUGGAAGGCUUAAUUUGGACUGGGUCGAUCCUGAUCAGCCUCAUUUUCUGAAUGAGGCUUUCAUUGUGCAAUGGCUCUUGCUGGUGGUGAAUUUUUAGAGAGGGGAGAAAUGUUAUAACUGGUUCAGUGGGCUAAGAUGUAAGAACUCAUUUGGAACAAAUGCAAACGUACAGACUUUUCCCAUGAUUAGACCGAGUAACUCAUGUGAAGGUGACAGCAGAGUUAGAGUUGCAGUUGUUUCUGGGGAUGAGCAUGCUAAAUUAUCAGGUGCAUUUGAGACACUGGCAGCAGAUAUGUUUCCUACAACUGAUGAUUUCUAUAUGCACAAGGAUGAGCCUGAUUGGGAUACACCAACGGGUGAAGUUUCUUUCUUAGGUGAUGCAAUUGAAGAUAUUCGUCAAGGCAAGACAGUUGCACCCAUAACUCGGAACUGGAUGGUCAUUGUUGUUGAUGACGACGAUAGAGCAAAUGAAGGGGAUCUAAUAAUGGAAGCAGAGUUGGCAAACUAGUCAUUGUUGUGGUUGAUUCCAGUUGUAUGUGGUGUACAAACUGGUGCACCUUGUCUUGUCUCUGGAUUUCUGUGAAUGUGUACUUUAUACAACAGUGUAAACUUAGAUUUUUUUAAAAAUGAGAAUUACACUGUCAUAUGUAUACUCUUUUUGUAUCUCUCGGAAAGAGUUUUCGGAUUAUAUAAAGUUUGCGAAUUGUGGACAAAUGGU